rnacentral:rRNA from 1 species
CGUUAGCGGCGGACGGGUGAGUAACACGUGGGUAACCUACCUAUAAGACUGGGAUAACUUCGGGAAACCGGAGCUAAUACCGGAUAAUAUUUUGAACCGCAUGGUUCGAUAGUGAAAGAUGGUUUUGCUAUCACUUAUAGAUGGACCUGCGCCGUAUUAGCUAGUUGGUAAGGUAACGGCUUACCAAGGCGACGAUACGUAGCCGACCUGAGAGGGUGAUCGGCCACACUGGAACUGAGACACGGUCCAGACUCCUACGGGAGGCAGCAGCG